rnacentral:rRNA from 1 species
UACGGAGGGUGCGAGCGUUGUCCGGAAUCACUGGGCGUAAAGGGCGCGUAGGCGGCAUGCCAAGCGUGUGGUGAAAAGCCCGGGGCUCAACCCCGGGUCGGCCGUGCGGACUGGCGUGCUCGAGCACUGUAGGGGCGGUGGAAUUCCGGGUGUAGGCGGUGGAAUGCGUAGAGGAUCCGGAAGAACACCGGUGGCGAAGGCGGCCCG